AUUGAACGCUGGCGGCGUGCCUAACACAUGCAAGUCGAGCGGCAGCGCGGGAGCAAUCCUGGCGGCGAGCGGCGGACGGGUGAGUAACGCUUGGGAAUCUGCCCGUUAGUGGGGGACAACCCGGGGAAACUCGGGCUAAUACCGCAUACGCACUACGGUGGAAAGCCGGGGACCGCAAGGCCUGGCGCUAACAGAUGAGCCCAAGUCGGAUUAGCUAGUUGGUAGGGUAACGGCCUACCAAGGCGACGAUCCGUAACUGGUCUGAGAGGACGACCAGUCACACCGGAACUGAGACACGGUCCGGACUCCUACGGGAGGCAGCAGUGGGGAAUAUUGGACAAUGGGGGAAACCCUGAUCCAGCGACGCCGC
rnacentral:rRNA from 1 species